rnacentral:rRNA from 1 species
AAAACAUGUCUUUUUGUAAAAAAUUUAAAGUCAAAUCUGCUCACUGAAUAUUUAAAGAGCCGCAGUAUAUUGACUGUGCAAAGGUAGCAUAAUCAAUAGUUUUUUAAUUGAGAACUGGUAUGAAUGAUUAGACGAGAAAUUAUUUUUCUUUAUUCUAUUAAGUUAAAUUUUAAAUUUAAGUGAAAAUGCUUAAAUAUAUUUAAAAGACGAGAAGACCCUAUAGAUUUUUAUUAUUUAAAUGAAUUUUAAAUUUAAUUUAGUAGAAUAAUUUGGUUGGGGCGAUUUUUUAAUAUAUAAAACUUAAUUUUUUAAAAACAUAAAUAAUUGGAUAUUUGGUCUAAAAUUUUUAAAGAAAAGAUUAAAUUACCUUAGGGAUAACAGCGUUAUUUUAUUUAAGAGUUCAUAUCUAUAAUGAAGUUUGCGACCUCGAUGUUGAAUUAAGAUAAUAUAUUGGAGUAGAAAUUAAUAUAAUUAGUCUGUUCGACUAUUAAAUUCUUACGUGAUCUG